rnacentral:rRNA from 1 species
UUGGUGACUGAGUGGCGGACGGGUGAGUAACGCGUGGGUAACCUGCCCUGUACAGGGGGAUAACAGCUGGAAACGGCUGCUAAUACCGCAUAAGCGCACGAGGAGACAUCUCCUUGUGUGAAAAACUCCGGUGGUACAGGAUGGGCCCGCGUCUGAUUAGCUGGUUGGCAGGGUAACGGCCUACCAAGGCAACGAUCAGUAGCCGGUCUGAGAGGAUGAACGGCCACAUUGGAACUGAGACACGGUCCAAACUCCUACGGGAGGCAGCAGUGGGGAAUAUUGCACAAUGGGGGAAACCCUGAUGCAGCAACGCCGCGUGAGUGAAGAAGUAUUUCGGUAUGUAAAGCUCUAUCAGCAGGGAAGAUAAUGACGGUACCUGACUAAGAAGCUCCGGCUAAAUACGUGCCAGCAGCCGCGGUAAUACGUAUGGAGCAAGCGUUAUCCGGAUUUACUGGGUGUAAAGGGUGCGUAGGUGGCAGUGCAAGUCAGAUGUGAAAGGCCGGGGCUCAACCCCGGAGCUGCAUUUGAAACUGCAUAGCUAGAGUACAGGAGAGGCAGGCGGAAUUCCUAGUGUAGCGGUGAAAUGCGUAGAUAUUAGGAGGAACACCAGUGGCGAAGGCGGCCUGCUGGACUGUUA